rnacentral:snRNA from 1 species
AGCUUUGCGCAGUGGCAGUAUCGUAGCCAAUGAGGUUUAUCUGAGGCCAGGUGAUUAUUGCUAAUUGAAAACUUUUACCAUAAACCAUGCCCAUAUAAGACAGCAAUCUUAAUAUACUUUGUGUGUGUUCUGACUUUUCCACUGACUGGAA